AUUUUCUGAGACGGCGAGCACGUAUCGAUACUGGGCGUAAGCGCGUGUAGGCGGUUCGUCACGACUACGUGGAAUCCCCGGGCUCUACCUUGGGACUGCCUUUGUAACUGCCGAGCUAAAAUAGGUCUAAGGGAGGUAGAAUUUCCUGUGUUACCGUGAAAUGGCUCAAAUUUUGGAAGAAUACCCAUGGCGAAAGGCGCCCCCUGGGAUUGUACUGGACCUCAAACACCAAAGCGUGGGGAGCAAAACGGAUUUAAUACCCUGGGUAUCCCCGCCCUAAACGAUGUCGACUAACUGUUGGGGAACAUUCGCCUUUUUCCGCGCCCUAACUCGUGAAGUUGACCGCCUGGGGAGUACGGUCGCAAGAUUAAAACUCAAAGGAAUUGAUGGGGACCCCCACAAGCGGUGGAUGAUGUGGAUUAUUCUAUGCUGCGCCAAAAACCUUACCUACCCUUGACAUGUCUGGCAAGACCACCACAUUUGGCCGUGUUCCCUUCAGAACUGGAAUACAGGUGCUGCAUGGCUGUCGUCAGCUCGUGUCGUGAGAUGUUGGGUUAAGUCCCGCAACGAGCGCAACCCUUGUCAUUAGUUGCUACCCCAGAACACUCUAAUGACACUGCCGGUGACAAACCGUUAAGAAGGUGGAGAUGACGUCAUGACCUCAUGGCCCUUAUGCCUUAUGCUUCACACGUCAUACAAUGGUCGGUACAGAGGGUCACCAACCCGCGAGGGGGAGCCAAUCUCUAAACCCAAAUAGUAGUCCUCAUCUCAGUCUGCAACUCUGCUGCGUGAACUCAUGAAUCUCUAGUAUCUCGGAUCAGAAUGUCGCGAUGAUACGUUCACGGGUCUUGUGCACACUGCACGCACCGCCAUGGGAGUGGCGUUUAUCAGAAGUACGUAGCCUAGACCGCCUGACGGCGCGUACGACGGAGGCAUUCAAGACUGGGGUUGAAGUCUGACACAUGAUAUCAACAAAGUUAACCA
rnacentral:rRNA from 1 species